CACGUAGGGUGCGAGCGUUGUCCGGAAUUAUUGGGCGUAAAGGGCGCGUAGGCGGCAAAUUAAGUCAGCUGUGAAAUCUCCGAGCUUAACUCGGAACGGUCAGCUGAUACUGAUCUGCUAGAGUGCGGAAGGGGCAAUCGGAAUUCUUGGUGUAGCGGUGAAAUGCGUAGAUAUCAAGAGGAACACCUGAGGUGAAGACGGGUUGCUGGGCCGACACUGACGCUGAUAGCGCGAAAGCCAGGGGAGCAAACGGG
rnacentral:rRNA from 1 species